AUUGCACACGGUGGAAAUAUAACUGAAUGCAUAGGCAGUCACAGAAAGGUGCGCGCCACGCUCCUAGGCAAACAGCAAUUCAGUGGUAGAUCAUUUUUAUGUUUAUAAUUGCUUAUAGUUUCCAGGGCUAUCAGUCCCUCCUGUGACGUUAAUCACCUGCUCUGUCAUGGCCCUUAGGAAGGCCUUAGGAGACCUGCCCUCCAGCGAGACAGCAACAGGGUGCCUACUUCACCUCCGCCCAGUGUGAGCAGAUCCCCGAACAAGCAGAAAGCUUUCACCGCAGUGCUGCUCAGCCCUGGCUACUCAGCAAGCACUGGAGGAGUUUUAAAGAGAACCCAGCAUUGAGGCUACACUGAGGUCAAGUACAUCCACUCUCUGCACGGGACAUGAAGGCACCAGUUCUUUUUAUAGACCCCCAGGUUUGGUCAGACCAACGUGACAGAAUAAAUCAUCAACAUGAAGACCCGACACAUCUCACAAGGAGCAGACACUUCCAAUUUAUAGUUUGUUGGGAAGAGCCAAGCAGUCCUGCAAAUCAAAAUCCUAAAGAAAAGAACGUUCUACAGAAAUAAGGCGUCAUGAAAGGUGAACUUAUAAUUUCA